rnacentral:rRNA from 1 species
CCUACGGGCGGCAGCAGUGGGGAAUAUUGCACAAUGGGGGAAACCCUGAUGCAGCGACGCCGCGUGAGUGAAGAAGUAAUUAGUUAUGUAAAGCUCUAUCAGCAGGGAAGAAAAUGACGGUACCUGAGUAAGUAGCCCCGGCUAACUACGUUCCAGCAGCCGCGGUAAUACGAAGGAGGCCACGGUUAUCCGGAUUUUCUGGGUGUAAAGGGAGCGUUGACGGCAGUGCAAGUCUGUAGUGAAAGGCGGGGGCUCAACCCUCGGACUGCUCUGGAAACUGUACGGCUGGAGUGCAGGAGAGGUAAGUGGAAUUCGUGGUGUAGCGGUGAAAUGCUUAGAUAUUAGGAAGAACACCAAUGGCGAAGGCAGCUUACUGGACUGUAACGGACGUUGAGGCUCGAAAGCGUGGGGAUCAAACAGGAUUAGAUACCCGUGUAGUC